rnacentral:misc_RNA from 1 species
GAGGAAGCAGGCAUGUUUGUAAUUCGCCAAACCAUUGGAAGUGUUUUAUGUUGUAAAUGUGGCGUACCAAUACAACCAAAUGCUGCCAAUAUGUGUGUUAAGUGUUUGCGUUCAGAAGUAGACAUCACUGAAGGUUUGCAGAAGCAUGUAAUCAUUAGACAUUGCCCUGAAUGUGAUAGCUACUUGCAACCACCAAGCACUUGGAUUAAGGCCCAAUUAGAAUCCAAGGAGCUGUUGACUUACUGUAUAAAAAGACUGAAUUUGAAAGAAGUUAGGAUGGUACAUGCAGAAUUUGUUUGGACUGAGCCACACUCCAAGAGGAUCAAGGUCAGGCUGAGGGUUCAAAAAGAGGUUCUUAAUGGAGCAAUACUUGAACAAGCAUAUGUUGUUGAAUAUGUUCAGCAAGAAUCCAUGUGUGAAUCUUGCUCAAGGAUUCAGGCCAACCCUGAUCAGUGGGUUGCUUCUGUCCAAGUCCGGCAGCAUGUUCCUCACAGGCGAACUUUCUUUUAUUUGGAACAGCUAAUUUUGAAGCAUGAUGCUGCAGUCCGCGCAAUUAAGAUCAAGCAGAUGGAACAAGGUAUUGAUUUUUUCUUUGCAAAUCGAAGUCAUGGGGUGAAAUUUGUUGAAUUUGUGGGUAAAGUUGCUCCAGUGAGGAGUCGCCAUGACAAAGAACUUGUGUCUCAUGAUACUAAGAGCAACAACUAUAAUUACAAGUAUACUUUCUCUGUUGAAAUCUCCCCAAU